AUGCUGUCAAAGGAGGAGUUCACCCAGACUGUGGUUACCCUUUGGUCGAUCUGGUUCGCAAAAAGAUAGGCAUUACAUGAGCACAUAUUUCAGAGCCCCCAAGCGACUCAUAAUUUCAUCAUGAAGUAUCUGAGAGAGUUGAAGGAGUGCAAACCCACCACAUCUCCAUCACGGACAGGGCCGGGCUAUGCCCAGCGCCCUAGCACGCCACCGACGGGGUACCACAAAAUUCAUGUUGAUGCCGCAGUUCGUCAGGGCAGGGGCGGCUCGGUUUCUACGGUAUGCAGGGAUGGCAAUGGGAUCUUCAUUGGCAGCUCAUCGUUGGUGGUCAUGGGGAUACAUGACCCAACCACUUUGGAGGCAAUGGCAGUUAGGGAAGCAUUAGCGCUUGCGGAAGAUCUGCAUGUACCCAAUAUGGUCAUUUCUUCUGACUGUAAGCAAGUCAUAGGAGACAUAAUGAAGGGCUCAUCCGAAAGAUAUGGCGCCAUCAUCAACGAGAUCAAACUGCAGUCAGCACCUUUUAACUGUAUUUUCAAAUUUGAGAGUCGUAGAGUAAAUUUAGAAGCUCAUAACUUAGCCAGGCAUUCGCUUACUCUUGGUCCGGGACGCCACGUUUGGUUUGGCCAAUCCCACAACCAAAGAUGUAUCCCACCCUCUGUGGUUUUUGAUGAAUAA
rnacentral:rRNA from 1 species